AGAGGAGCGACAAAGAGAUCGGGAGGAGCUAUUGAAGGAGAAAGAGGAGCGACAAAGAGAUCGGGAGGAGCUAUUGAAGGAGAAAGAGGCGCGCGAAAGAGAUCGGGAGGAAAUUACGAGGGAAAGAAAGCAGCUAAUCAAACAAGUUGAUGAAGAAAAAAAAGCACGGGAGGCACAACAACUACAACUCAAUCAUCUAAACGACGUGGUGUCACGGCUCACAACCCUCUUGCCAGGUUCAGACGGUCAUCCUACUAUUCGGUUAUGAGGCAUCAUGUGAGUAGACAUUGCAGCAGCCGACCUGGUGUUUUGAUACAUUACAGAAACGACCGUACGCUGAUUUCUAUAAGAUGGCUUUUGGCAUUGACAUGUGGAUCUUCUAAUUUUUUCUCGGAAGAUACACAAGCUGGGAAAGUUGGGAAGUUUUUUGUCGUCCUAUACUUUUUGCUGUGGACUAUGGAUGCAUCGAACAUAUAAUUUUUGACAGGGUACAAAGUAUUUUUGGAGCUUGUAUUAAUUAAUGAACCGUGGAAUUUGGAUGCAUCGUACAUAUAAUUUAUGGUGGGGUACAUAAUAUUUUUGGAGCUUGUAUUACCUUUUGUCGUGGUACAUAUUACCAUAGUAAUUUGUACCUUGUCAAAUGGUCAUUACAAUGCAUAGUAUAGUAAAAAUGUUGUGUAUAGAGGACAUAAUUUUGGUAACGUAUUUGGAAUGUAUGAUGUUAUUAUUUGUAAU